rnacentral:tRNA from 10 species
CGCGGGGUAGAGCAGCCUGGUAGCUCGUCGGGCUCAUAACCCGAAGGUCACUGGUUCAAAUCCAGUCCCCGCUA